GUACGUAGGGGGCAAGCGUUAUCCGGAAUUACUGGGUGUAAAGGGAGAGUAGGCGGCAUGAUAAGUUAGAUGUGAAAGCCUUGGGGCUUAACCCGAGGAUUGCAUUUAAAACUAUCAAGCUAGAGUACAGGAGAGGUAAGUGGGAUUCCUAGUGUAGCGGUGAAAUGCGUAGAUAUUAGGAAGAACACCAGUGGCGAAGGCGACUUACUGGACUGAAACUGACGCUGAGGCUCGAAAGCGUGGGGAGC
rnacentral:rRNA from 1 species